ensembl:lncRNA
GUAUGAUGGUAGAUACCAAUUAUUCACUGGAAUAUUUUCCCACAGUACACUUAGUGUUUUUGCAGAGAAUCCCUGUUUCUAACUAUGUGUAAUACUUCCAAUUUUAUGCUCGUGCUGAUUCUCAAAUAUUUGCUGAAUGACCAUCAAAGGAAGUAAAAGGACGGAAUCUCUACCCUGAUGGCUGUUGUGUUAGUGAUGUGGUCCUAGUCGCAGUGCUGUGCCGAGCAGAAGCAAUAGCUUCCUGCUACCUGCAGCCAGCACGAUUACRUUACAAACUUCCUUUUGAAAGGAAUCCGAUUUGAAGUGUUCGGUCCUUGUAAGUUAUUUGAUAUAUUUAGCAUGUUUGCCUUUAGAUGUCUUUUAAAUUUUAAAUUAUUUAUACUAAAUACAUAGGUUGAUCCCAGUACGUAAACUGUAUUGUCAUUUCCCGUUAAUGUGUUUGCAUUCACUUUUCAGAUGAUUUCUCUGAAGCCUCGUUUACCUGUAUAGAUGCCCAAGGUUCUGUGAAGUACCCUCUAAAAUAACUAGCUAUGAAGACUUUUCACUGAUACGUGUUUUGACAAGCUGAACAAAAUCCGGAUGUGAAAAGGUGCCGGCUGCUGAAAGGCUGUUAGGAUACUCACUAUACUAGUGGUUGCCAUUACAAAGUUCAUGGCGCUCUCUAAGCUGAAAACAAGUGUGGUUCGAGUUACUGCAAAGAGCAAGAGUCCUGCUGGGGCAAAGCUGGCCGUUAAGUGCCCAAAACGUACAGUAUGUGACUGACACUGUGGGCGCAGAGUCCCGAAGGGUUCUGUGCAGCGGUUAGUAUUUGCUAUGCUUUUGUCUCUCUUUUGAGGAGAAAACUACUAGAAUGUUGGGACUGAGGAAAAAAGUUACUGACAAGCAGGGGUGUCGUGCUUCGGAGCUAAGGACAAAGGAAGUYGGCACGUUUUGUGAAAGUAGCUGCAUUUGCGAGGUUCACUGCUUGGCCUGUAGCUCCGGGCAGAGGUGCUGGCUGCUGCCCACUGGGUGGUUUCUCCUCCCCACCAUGAUCUCUGUCCUUACGGGAGACAUAGGAAUCGCAGGGCGCGGAGUUGGUGUACGGGCUCAAGCCAAAGGAGGAGGACGAACGAGCGUCUUGCAGGGACGGGACCGGCGCUGCACCCGCAUUUCCAGCCCUUGUUGCAAUAGCACAAAUGUCAAUCAAUCGCAGCCUGUAAAACUUUUCAAAAAGUAAUGUAUGCAGCAAAGCGAGCUUCUGCCCCUUGGAUGUGCGGGCUGAAGAGGCAAAGGAGAGAAAAAGGUGAGAACGUACAGCAACAGGAAGAGAAAGCGUAAGUUGCCGUUUUAAUGAAUAAUCAAAAUGAGCCAUUAAAAGUGCUUCACCUCAGCCUCUUUUCCCUCUCCUGUCCGUGCCUUUCCGUAAGCUUCUGGGCUUGGAUCUGCCCCAGCAGCUGUUCGCUUCGGUCCCAAGUCGUGUUCCCCUCGGUGCUCGCUUCCCCGGGUCUGCAAGUCCCAAUGCCUUUUCCAGCAUUCCCGUUAUCCCAGUUUCUCCUAGGAAAAGAAAUCGAUGGGUAGAUAGCUGAGGCAGCUAUGGAGAGGAGGAGCAGGCAGAUCUGGCGAGAAGCUGGCCGGGGGCUUCGCGGACGAGCCCAGYGAGGGCGUUUCCGCGUGCGGAGGAGAAGGCAGCCCCAGCGGUGCAGCACCGGGGCGCGAUGCCGAGGCCGGCGCGGUGCGGCAYGGGCAACGGCUCCACGGGUGAACUGCAGAGAGUUUUCAGCGCUGCAGACAUUGCCGCAACAGGGUGGGGGAAGCCUGAAAUGCUCCUGUUUUAAACGUGCCACGGUUCUGUGUUGAAUAUAGUUUAACCAGGGGGAAAAAGACAAAAGGAUUAGAUGUAUAAAGUCUAGCCACAGGGCUGACCCUAUUCCUGCAGAAUUGGAACCAUCCUGUCAUGCUUUAACCAGCAGCAUCGGGAACGCGUCCCAGUGAUACAGCUUAUUCACCGUGUUUAUCAGGAGAAUGUUCUCUGGCUUAAUCCUUCUUUGGGGAUUAAAACACUGAUGACAACUUCAUUUUUCCUAUAUGGCAGUUUCCAUUUUUGCUGCCUCGCUCUCGGUGCCUUGAAGCCUAUUUUACCUUCGGGGCAGGGUGGUCCCGGUGUUUUCAGGAACAGUUUCAAUACUCAACCUCUCAAAGACAGUUUGCUCCGAGGGAUGAGAGGGAGAGGGAGGUAC